UUGACCUCGGAUCAGGUAGGG
rnacentral:rRNA from 35 species